AUGAUCGUCUCCUUUUUUUUUUUUUUUUUUUAACAUUACCGAUGACAUCACAACUAAUGGCUUUGCACAACCAGCUUUCCCAGCAUCCCCUACAUCUAGCUCUUGCCAUGGCCCUCUUCUUUCACGUUGCUUCUUUCUGCUAGACUGUGAGCCCACUCAGGGUGAGGAGCUUGUGGAACUGGCUUGUGUCUUUCUUGUAGGGUGUAUAUGAAUGUUGAUUGGGUAUGUGUGGAAGGGUGGAUAGGUGUGAAUGACAGCGAAUGCAAGAUUGGUAGGCAGAUGAGAGGAUAGAUGAGUGGAUUAGUGAACGAAUGGCUGGGUGAGUGGAUGGAUGGAUUCUCUGUGGAUGUGAGCUUCUUGGAUGAAAGGGUAAGGGGGUUGUUUGAAUGGCUGUUGGUUGAGUUAAGAAAGCUUACAGUAUUUUUAUCUUGUCUAGUGAUGUAUUAGCAUUUAAGGUGAUGUAUUAGUAUUUAAGAUAUCUGCUGGCUUCCCCCCGCCCAACUCCUGUUAAGAAAUGCUCUCGUGUGUAAAACUUGUUCAAAUUACUAAUGAAGGCUGAAUAUGUUCUACCCAUGUUUGUUAACAAAUUGUAUCUUAUCUUCUGUGAACUGUUUGUCCAAGUCCA
rnacentral:lncRNA from 1 species